UUAAAUAUAAUUUAUUUAUUAAAUUAUUAUAAGUUAAGAUCUUUAAAAUUAAAAAAUUUGGCGGUAUUUUAGUCUUUUUAGAGGAACCUGUUCUAUAAAUGAUAUUCCACGAUUUUAUUUACUUAUAUUUUAAAUUUGUAUAUCGUCGUUAUUAAAUAUUUUUUUAGAAUUUAAUAUUUAAAAUUUUUUUAAAAAAAUUAAUCAGAUCAAGGUGCAGUUUAUAUAUAAGUAGAAAUGGGUUACAUUAAAUUAUUUUUGGAGCUUUGAUUUUAUAUAAAAGUGAAAUUGGAUUUAAUUGUAAUAUUAAUUAAUUAAUUAAUAUGAUUUAGUUUUAAAAUAUGU
rnacentral:rRNA from 1 species